CAUUUCAAAGAAUUCCUGACGAUCGGACGAUGCAAAGAGAUGUGCAUCAAACAUGGACGCUCAAAAUUCGAUCCAAAGCCAACAACUUCCAUUUCCAUUUCAAUCACAAUUCAUCACAAACUAUUCGCAAGUUUUUCGAAUUUUCAAUCGAGCUUAAGCUCCGCCCAUUUCUUUUCAAAUUAAAAUGCGAACCCAGAUCAUCAUUUUCCUGGAAAAGAAGAUCUUUCAAGACUAGAUCACUUCAAUUUUUGCAGAAUCUUGGCAUUCCGAUUGCAAAAAACAAAGGCAUUGUAGCCAGAAGGAGAUCUCGUAUCACGACCCUAAAAUGGUGUGCUCGUAAGGGAUCAAUUUGUGAGAGUUCAUUGAUACUGAUUGGAAGCCUUGCUCAUUUGUAUCUAUCAAUCUCCAAGAAUGGUGAAGAUCCAAUAUUCUUACUUGGUUCAUUUAUCUGUUUAUACUUUGCUUUCUUGCUGAAGAAUUAUUGGAGAAGAAAAAUAAGUUGUAAUUCAUUGGGAGUAGUGGUUUUUGCAACAUUGGGUUGUUGGGCAAUUUCGCAUCUGAGUAACCAUUUCUAUGGGAGCAGCUACUAUAUUUCCAGAUUUAUAUGGAGGGCUUGGAAUUAGGCUGCCUAUGUUUUUAUGAUUUAUUUCCCAGGUAAUUUUUACUGCAGUUUCACUGGGGUCGAGAGAUAGAGGUGAUCUUCAAUCGAAAAACAUUGAUUUGUAAGAUUCUUUAAGCGUUGUUUUAGCUUAUGCAUGACCCAAUAAGGUGUUAAUAAACUUAACUUCGUGACUCGAGUCUUGUUUUAUUAUAUAAGAAUUCCAGAAUUUUAUGCAACUGAAAAUUUGAGAUUGUAGCAAUUUUGGAAGCCUUUUUCUUACUUAUUUUAAAAUUUUAUUUCUAAAAUUGUAUGUUCAGAUU